rnacentral:sRNA from 1 species
UUCCUCGCCUGCUUCAGUUUUCUCGCCAGAGCUCUCAUUGACCUGGUUUCCCUCAGCAGAGUUCUCAGAAUCAGUCUUCACUUGGUUGUUCUCAGUCGCAGCCUCAUUUUCUUCAUUCUUUU